ACAAUGCCCGAAAGGGUGAUGCAGCAACGCCGCGUGAGGGAUGAAGGCCUUCGGGUCGUAAACCUCUUUCGAUCGGGAAAAACGGCCCUGUGAAGAGCGGGGUCUGAUGGUACCGGAAGAAGAAGCCCCGGCCAACUACGUGCCAGCAGCCGCGGUAAUACGUAGGGGGCGAGCGUUGUUCGGAAUUACUGGGCGUAAAGGGCGUGUAGGCGGUGUGGUAAGUUGGGCGUGAAAUCCCCGGGCUUAACCCGGGGGGGCCGUUCAAGACUGCCAUGCUAGGGUGCGGGAGAGGGCAGUGGAAUUCCCGGUGUAGCGGUGAAAUGCGUAGAUAUCGGAGGAACACCUGCGGCGAAAGCGGCUGCCUGGACCGUAACCGACGCUGAGGCGCGAAAGCUAGGGGAGCAAACAGGAUUAGAUACCCUGGUAGUCUACGCUGUAAACGAUGGAUGCUAGCCGUUGGGGAGCUUGCUCUUCAGUGGCGCCGCUAACGCAUUAAGCAUCCCGCCUGGGGAGUACGGUCGCAGAUUAA
rnacentral:rRNA from 1 species